AGUGAACGCUGGCGGUAGGCCUAACACAUGCAAGUCGAGCGGCAGCACAGUAAGAGCUUGCUCUUACGGGUGGCGAGUGGCGGACGGGUGAGGAAUACAUCGGAAUCUAAUUUUUCGUGGGGGAUAACGUAGGGAAACUUACGAUAAUACCGCAUACGACCUACGGGUGAAAGCAGAAGAUCUUCGGACCUUGCGCGAUUGAAUGAGCCGGUGUCGGAUUAGCUAGUUGGCGGGGUAAGGGCCCACCAAGGCGACGAUACGUAGCUGAUCUGAGAGGAUGAUCGGCCACACUGGAACUGAGACACGGUCCAGACUCCUACGGGAGGCAGCAGUGGGGAAUAUUGGACAAUGGGCGCAAGCCUGAUCCAGCCAUACCGCGUGGGUGAAGAAGGCCUUCGGGUUGUAAAGCCCUUUUGUUGGGAAAGAAAAGCAGCAUGUUAAUACCCCGCUGUUCUGACGGUACCCAAAGAAUAAGCACCGGCUAACUUCGUG
rnacentral:rRNA from 1 species